GAGGGGAGGGAGGGGAUCGUGGUGGUGUUCGCGUGGUUGUCGAGCCAGGAGAGGCACUUGAAGCCCUACGUGCAGCUCUACUCGUCCUUCGGCUGGCGGUCGCUCGUCUGCCAUAUCGAUUUCCUCACCUUGUUUUUACCUGAGAAGGCCGCAUCACUAGCUGAUGGUGUACUCAGAGAGCUUCUUCAGGAACUUAAGAUUAGUCCAUCACCCAUUGUAUUCGCUGCUUUUUCUUGGGGAC